ensembl:lncRNA
UCAUGAUGUCAUAAUCUAAAGGUCAGCAGCUGGGUCCCCUGGCAUUUGGGGUCUGCAGGGGUGGAUAGGUUCUGUCACUACCCCCAGCCACAGAGCCCAGACCACAUCCAUCCACUGGCUUCCAUGGGGCCUGGGACUGGGCUGGGCCCUGGUGGCCACUGGGAGACAGUGUUUGAGGACACAGAAGCCCCUUGGAUGGGUGCGGUAGCCGCCGGGCCUUCAGUGUGCUCUCUUAAGCGCUUUCUUCCCGUCCUCUAGAACGAGCUCACUUAGCCUGCCUCCCUUCCAGACUUGAGCACAGUGUGUAGAGCAACCACCGUCUCCCGAGAGGUGUUGGAGAAGACAGGACCACAGAAUGUGACCUAUGAAGGCUGAUAAACUCAAAAAAGGCAAGAAGCAGCUGCGCAGCACUGGAGAGGUGGUGCCUUGCACAGGAAGAGACAGGUGGGCUGGGAGAGAAGCUGUUUGCCCACGGUCUGCAAACUUGGAGAACUGCAGCCCGGACAGAAAACAGUCUUUCACACGUUUCCAGCAUGAUGCUCCAAUGACAUUUGACAGCUGUCCUAAACAGAGGCACCUUGGAUUGUCCAAGACACCCAUUCAAGACAUUCUUUGAGGGCUUCCCUGGUGGCUCAGUGGUAAGGAAUCUGCCUGCCAAUGCAGGAGACAUGGGUUCAAUCCCUGGUCCGGGAGGACCCCACGUGUCUUGGAGCAACUAAGCCCAUGUGCCACAACUGUUGGGCCUGUGCUCUAGAGCCCGGGAGCUGCAACUACUGCAGCCUGUGAGCCCCAGAGCCCAUGCUCCAAAACAAGAGAGGCCGCUGCAAUGAGAAGCCCGUGUGUCACAACUAGAGAGAAGCCUUCACUUGCCAAAAUUAGAGAAAACCAGUGCAGCAAAGAAGAC